ensembl:lncRNA
GAUUAGAUCAGUGUUUCCCAAACUAAUUUAACGCGGUGGAGUCAUUUAUUCUCAUAACUCCUAUUAAUGUCUCAGGAAUUACUGGGGAAGACAAAGCCGCAGGCUCAAGAUUCCUUGAGAACAGGGAGCAGGUCUUGCUCAUCUUCAUUGUUUCCACACGGCCUUACAGUUGUUUUUAAGAAAUUAUACAAAAUGAGAUUGGAUUGAUGACUCUGCUUUCUAACCGACAGCCACACACGUGCGAACUGGGGGCCAAGGUUAGAGGUUGAGUCUGCUCCGAAGUGUUUCUCGGUGUAAAGCUAAUUGGCCCCUUUGGGGAUGAACCUGUGAACUUGGCCUUGUUAACGCCAGCACAAAACAGCUGCGUUAGUUUAUCUGGUACCCUGAAAUUGUUCUCUUACCCAGAUUCUCAUGCUGUCCUGCAGAUGGCGAUGCUGGUUUGUCAACUUUCUGAGAGCCUGAAGCUUGAGCCAAGAAAAGCUUGAAAUUGAGGGGAAGCAGAUGCAGACUAAAGAGGUAGUUCCUGCAGCUAGAAGAAGCAGAAUUGGAAAUUCAACCCUGCUUCUUAGGCCUGGCGCUGUAUCUGAGUGUUUUGCUAGACUGAAAUGAGAAGGUUCUAUCAAGUACAUGGUACACAAUGAGUUGUUAAUAAAGUUUGGAUGAAUGAAUGACCUCAUGAAUGAAGGGUGUCUCCUGCAGAAGUGAUAUCUGAGCCUGAACCGAGGAAGGCACUGUCAGGGAGCUUGGUCUAGAUAAGCAGAAAGAGGACCCGAGGAAGCUGCAAGAACUAUCUUCACACACGUGAGAGGUGUCACGCAGAGGAGAUUGCAGAACAAAAUUGUGCCUCUUCAAGUCUUGGGAGGCCAGUUUCUUUAACAAAGAAGAAUCUCAGAGCUGUCUAAACAUAAAAGGAGUUACUUUUAAAAAAUAUUUAUUUAUUUGGCUGCUCUGGGUCUUAGUUGCUGCACACAGGAUCUUCUGUUGCAGGACGUGAGAACUUCAGUGGCUGUAUGUGGGAUCUAUUUCCCUGACAAGGGAUCGAACCUGGGCCCUCUGCAGUGAGAGUGAGGAGUCUUAGAGGCACUGAUGGCAAACACCAUCCAAUCAUCUCAGCCAGAGGCAGCAUGAACAUCUAGCAGGAAUGGAGAAGAAAGGAACCUUUCAUUAGAUUGAGGCAGAAGGAGGAGGUUACUGACGCAUGUGGCUGAAGGGCAGGCAUGCAGAAGGGACUCAAUAUUUGUUGAACAAAUGAAUAACAGUCUUCUAAUCAUCAAAGACUCAUUCUGUAAAUAGCUAUUAAAAGUUUUUAUACAUUAGGUCUGUACUCAACUGAAGAGGUUGCAUCAGUGAAAAGGAUGACUCAGCCCUCAUCAACAGCGGGGAGUGUACUAUAUAGGUUGGAAGCCCAAGAUACAUCCACACUGCCUGGGCUCAAAACCCAGCUCUGCCGAUUCCUGUAUGCCUGUGUGCCUCAGUCUCCUCAGCUGUAAAAUGGGGAUAAAAUAGCAGCCAUGUUAAGGGAUUAUUUUGACAAUUAAAUGAAUUAAUACUUGACACAUCUUAUUGAUUCAAGUAUUAAUGAUUAUCACGGUGCAUAUCUUCCAGCAAGGGCUACAGAGAAGUUACUGUUAUGUGAAGGAUGCUCUGAGGAGUAUGAACUGAAAUAUGUGAGUGUCCGGACAGCCCAAUAAUUAGACACCCCAUCAAAUCAAUAUGCUCUAAAUCUCUAUUCAGUUUUCAUUAGAGGAAAGGCUAAGUGCUUUGCGAGGCAGGAUUAUGGCUCACCCAACAGGGCUUUUGUGAUGGUACCUCUCUCUCCGCUCGGAGUUGCCCGGUGCAACUAGAAAGGGAUGUUGGGACCCAGUCAGCAGGGAAGGGCAGAGAAAGGAGACCUGCUGGUGCCAACCCUGAUCCUUACACCAAAGUCCUGAGCAAUUCCACUCAGCUCCAAACCUGCAGUCCCCACAAAGCCUAACGAACACUUUGAAGUUAAACAGACAACUGUGUGCGUGCUUGCCAAGUCGCUUCAAUUGUGUCCGACUCUUUGCACCUUUAUGGACUAUAGCCCGCCAGGCUCCUCUGUCCAUGGAAUUCUCCAGGCAAGAAUACUGGAGUGGGUUUCCAUGCCCUCCUCCAGGGGAUCUUCCCAACCCAUCUCUUGGGUCUCCUGCGUUGGCAGGUGGGUUCUUUAC